CCACUUGUGGUGGUGCAUCUCGCAUGUGGUGGAGUGUCCAGGGAGGCACUGUCGCUUCUGUGCCCUCUGAGGAAGGGUUGGGCUGGGUUCCCCCCAGGUGCUGGCCCAAAACAUGGGACAGGCAGGGCAGUCCGCGGGUUUCAGCAAACCCGUGAUGGAAGCUAUGGAGGAUGUGUCGACUGUGUUGAAGAGGAUUUAUCUUGUUUAGAUGAAGACGAUUAACGAGAAUUGUAAGGCGAGUCACUGAUUACCUAAUUUAAUUGUCAUUGGCAAUUUCACAAGGCACAGUUGGUGGCAUUUUCAUUCAAGUCAUGAAGACCAAAAUUCAUUGAACUUUUGUCGAGUAUUCAGGGUGGUCCAUAACGACAUGUAGCUCGUCUUCCCAUGGCCACAGUACGAUAUCGCAUGUAUCGUUAUUCAUUCCUUUCUCCGCUUUCUCGGAAAAGAUUCUGUUGGCGUUGUUGGUUUCAGGCUCAAGAAGAUCACGAGACCUGGAUUGGUUGCUAUCCUUCAGAAUGUCUCCAAGCGCAGCUAUGCUAUGAAUGAUAUGACCAUCAAUUGUGAUAGAAAAUGCACCAGUUUUGUAAGGAUUUAUGAGUUAAUGACGAGCAGCAAUUGACUUCUCGUUCUUCUGGUCCCAGAUGCUAUUAUCAAUGAAGCUGAUUGGCAGCUUGAGUAAAUACACGAUGGUUUGGUUUGCUAUUUAAUGGGAGCUGAACACUUGUAUUUGUUAGGAACGGUUCAUGUAUCUCAAACGUGGAAUGUACUUACAUUUGAGUUCUCCAAUCUUCAAUGUAUCUUUCUUAAAUUAUCUUAUUAAUAACAUUAAUUAUCUUUGAGUUUUUUUUA